rnacentral:rRNA from 1 species
AUUGAACGCUGGCGGCAUGCCUUACACAUGCAAGUCGAACGGCAGCACGGGAGCAAUCCUGGUGGCGAGUGGCGAACGGGUGAGUAAUAUAUCGGAACGUGCCCGGUCGUGGGGAUAACGUAGCGAAAGCUACGCUAAUACCGCAUACGAUCUACGGAUGAAAGCGGGGGAUCGCAAGACCUCGCGCGAUUGGAGCGGCCGAUAUCAGAUUAGGUAGUUGGUGAGGUAAGGCUCACCAAGCCGACGAUCUGUAGCUGGUCUGAGAGGACGACCAGCCACACUGGGACUGAGACACGGCCCAGACUCCUACGGGAGGCAGCAGUGGGGAAUUUUGGGACAAUGGGCGCAAGCCUGAUCCAGCAAUGCCGCGUGCAGGAUGAAGGCCUUCGGUUGU